GUUCUCUUAUGGCUGAAGUCUUUCAUUCAUGAGGAAGUGUUAGAUAUGGAAGAUGAAGAUCAGCAAAGGCAUGCCAAUGUACUGGACAAGGCAGGCUGGGAUAGUUGUAUUUAUGCUCUGGCUCUUGAAAGAGUUCCGGCCUCUUCAAGAAUUCCAUGUGGAAACCCUGUUGUUGUUAAUCGAGUUCGGUGCAGCUUCUAUUCCUGUAUUCAAACUUAAAUUUCAAUCUCUCUCUUGGAAAUGGAAAAACAGAAAUUGUGGGAUAACAGAAAA